UACGGGAGGCAGCAGUGGGGAAUAUUGCACAAUGGGCGCAAGCCUGAUGCAGCCAUGCCGCGUGUAUGAAGAAGGCCUUCGGGUUGUAAAGUACUUUCAGUCGUGAGGAAGGUGUUAAGGUUAAUAACCUUAGCAAUUGACGUUAGCGACAGAAGAAGCACCGGCUAACUCCGUGCCAGCAGCCGCGGUAAUACGGAGGGUGCGAGCGUUAAAUCGGAAUUACUGGGCGUAAAGGGCACGCAGGCGGUUAAUUAAGUUGGAUGUGAAAUCCCCGGGCUUAACCUGGGAAUGGCAUUCAAGACUGGUUAGCUAGAGUCUUGUAGAGGGGGUAGAAUUCCAUGUGUAGCGGUGAAAUGCGUAGAGAUGUGGAGGAAUACCGGUGGCGAAGGCGGCCCCUGGACAAAGGACUGACGCUCAUGUGCGAAAAGCGUGGGGAGCAAACAGGGAUUAGAUACC
rnacentral:rRNA from 1 species